ensembl:lncRNA
UAGAGACCCAACUAGUGAUCAGUCAUGCAUGGCAAGAUAUUCAGUGAGCUCCCCACCCCACCCUGAGUCCCUCCUUCCUCCAAGAAGAACAGUGCUCCAUGUGGAUAUCCCACCAGCCUUGGCCCAGGUUCCUCCCUAGUACCUCAGCCAAAAAUCCAGCCUGUGCUCCUGUAGUAAUGGGAGGACAGACACCUUUCCUUCUUGGUAAAGCAAGGGAACUCCAGAAAGGGGAAGCAGAGGAAGUGGCCUGCACAGCAGAACCUCCCCUUGCCUGUGGUAACCCUCACUCUGCAGGACUGCUUAUCCUUCACCACCAUUUGGAAGGCAAAGGAAAGAGGAGAAAGGUUGUGGGAGGAGCCACCAGUGAACUGGGAGGAGGAUUAUUCAGUCUCCUGGAGGAAAGGUAACUCAUCAGUUCACAGCUAG